rnacentral:rRNA from 1 species
ACUCCUACGGGAGGCAGCAGUGGGGAAUAUUGCACAAUGGGGGAAACCCUGAUGCAGCCAUGCCGCGUGUGUGAAGAAGGCCUUCGGGUUGUAAAGCACUUUCAGUAGGGAGGAAGGUAGUGUAGUUAACACCUGCACUAUUUGACGUUACCUACAGAAGAAGCACCGGCUAACUCCGUGCCAGCAGCCGCGGUAAUACGGAGGGUGCGAGCGUUAAUCGGGAAUUACUGGGCGUAAAGCGCAUGCAGGCGGCCUGUAAGUCAGAUGUGAAAGCCCGGGGCUUAACCUCGGAAUUGCAUUUGAAACUGGCAGGCUAGAGUCUUGUAGAGGGGGGUAGAAUUUCAGGUGUAGCGGUGAAAUGCGUAGAGAUCUGAAGGAAUACCAGUAGGCGAAGGCGGCCCCCUGGACAAAGACUGACACUCAGAUGCGAAAGCGUGGGGAGCAAACAGGAUUAGAUACCCUGGUAGGACG